rnacentral:tRNA from 1 species
GCCCCCAUAGCCCAACGGCAGAGGCAGUGGACUUAAAAUCCAUCCAGUCCGAGUUCGAAUCUCGGUGGGGGUA